rnacentral:lncRNA from 1 species
CCUAAAUAGAGUAUUUAUUAAGAAGAAAUCUAUAUUCUGUAUUGUCCAGGUAUACAAAUUUAGAGAUGUACCAAUCUACAUGACUAGCAGUCGUAUUGGUAUUAAUAAACAAAAUGCAUGGGUUAAUUUAACUAGUUUUUAAAAGCAGUGCUUUAAGGCCUGACUUUCAAGUCAUGAGGUACAUCUUUUCAUACGCGACAUCCAACA